AGCGCAAUUAUGGUGGCGGGUAUCCCUAGACCAACCGGUGCUUCCCACGUGUCCCGCGUGUCCCACUCGCCGCUAUCGAGGAUUGACUGUUCGCAAAUUUCCAUGAUGCGACGCUUGGGAUCGCAUCUCGGUGGGAGUUUCGAAAAGACUCUUCGGAUCACCCUAAUCGAAAAAAGGGCUCUGGCAUGCGUGCAUUAAAUGCCGACAUAUCCGAGGGCGGUUG
rnacentral:lncRNA from 1 species